GCCCGGGUGGCGCAGCCGGUAACGCGUUUGGUUAUCAGCCAGAUGACCCCAGGUUCGAUUCCACCAGAGGUA